rnacentral:tRNA from 1 species
GAGGGUAUAGCUCAGUGGUAGAGUAUAUAUGCUUAGCAUCCACAAGGUCCUGGGUUCAAUCCUCAGUACCCCUA